rnacentral:rRNA from 1 species
GUGGGGAAUCUUCCGCAAUGGACGAAAGUCUGACGGAGCAACGCCGCGUGAGUGAAGAAGGUUUUCGGAUCGUAAAGCUCUUUCGUUAGGGACGAACGUGCUCUUUGUGAAUAAUGAGGAGUAAUGACGGUACCUAAAUAAGAAGCCACGGCUAACUACGUGCCAGCAGCCGCGGUAAUACGUAGGUGGCAAGCGUUGUCCGGAAUUAUUGGGCGUAAAGCGCGCGCAGGCGGGAUAUCAAGUCUGUCUUAAAAGUGCGAGGCUCAACCUCGUGAGGGGACAGAAACUGGUAUUCUUGAGUGUCGGAGAGGAAAGUGGAAUUCCAAGUGUAGCGGUGAAAUGCGUGGAGAUUUGGAAGAACACCAGUGGCGAAGGCGACUUUCUGGACGAUGUCUGACGCUGAGGCGCGAAAGCUAGGGGAGCGAACGGGAUUAGAUACCCCGGUAGUCC